CAAGGGCCAGGGCGCCCUGCCCAGCCCGUGCCGGGGACAGGACCUGCAGCCAUCGCGCACACAGGGGCCCUGCACCCUCGGCGACACAGAGUGAGAGGGCUCAGGGACAAGACCCCCACCAGAGCGGGCACAGGCCACCAUCACCUCAGCGGGAGAGCUGCCAAGACCACGCUGAUCGCUCUCCCUCGGCGACGGGAACUCCAGGUUAGUCCUGCAGAAACCGGGCCAAAAUGUCCAACUGUUUAUCUCGCCGUAACGAGGUUUGGUUCCCAUGGCAGCGCGCCCCGGGAUGGCUCCACACAGCGCAGCGUGCAGGCAACGGGCACCGAUGCCGCCGGGGCCCUCUCCAGAACACAGCUCCUGCUAGAAGGGGCACACUGACCUCUGGAAACACCUGCCCUCACCACAGCCCCACCACCCCAGGCCCUGCUCUCCCACCCACGCUGCCCCCUCCUCCCAAGCCCCAGUAUUUGUGACAGCAGGUGACAAUCACUUGCCGGUCACGGGAAAGCUCGGUGCCUGCAGCCCCUCCUCAGCAGGACCUGCGCCAUGGAGAUGCUGAGGGGAUGAAGUGGGAGGCACCAAGGAGACAGCGGGGGGGCAGCAGGGAGGCUGGGAAGGCAAAGUGGGACCAGCAGCAUCAUCCCACUCACAGCCAGGGGAGGCACGGCACCACCUGGGCUGUGCCAGCAACAUGGACGUAGUCAGAGGCACUGGGGGAAAUGCCCAUUGCAUUGUGUCCAAAAAUUAAUCCAGACCAAGAACUGACAUUUCACAUUACAUUAAACCAAAAUAAAUCUUCUCUCUUUUUCA